rnacentral:lncRNA from 1 species
UGUAAAUUGGAGGAAAAAAUGCCCAUAGAGCUAAUAAUUCUUUUUUCUUUUUAUUAUAGAACCUAUUUGAGAAGACACCGAGACUGAACUUGGUCCAUCUAUAUAAGAACUCAAGUUCUGAGCCACAAGUUGCAUCUGGAUAGCACUUUUAAAUGCACUUCAACAUCAUUUCAUUUGAUUUUCAUAAUACCAAGAUGAGCAAAAAAGAGGGUCAGGAUGAGUUUGGAGCUUUGCGGAAUCCUUGGGAAAACUGCCAUUCUAAUUACAGUGCCUAUAAUGGCUGGUAUGAUCCACAUGGAGUAAGAGAAUGAGUAGCUCUGAAGAGGCACUUUCACCCUGUACUGUUUCAUAUAUGCAUGUAUGGGGGAAAAGGGUUGGAGAUGGAAAUCCUAUCAGAUCACCAGGACAAACUAUCAGUUAUGUGUGAAACGGAGACUGCCUCUCUUUUCUCACUGCCUCUUUAGGAAGGGAAGCUGUCCAUCAAAAAUCCUCUAAUUCCCAAUGCUUUGUUACCUUCUCUGCUCUAUACUCUAGAUAUUUCCCUGUGAAAUCCUCUCUGUUCUUCCAUUGACCUGCGCUCUUGGAAGGUUUACAGGUCUGAUUGUACAUAUGUCUGCCACAUGUAUAAAUGAUCUUUAAUUAAAAUAAUGUAAACUUCUUAAGUA